GAGCGUAUAGCUCAGGGAUAGAGUGCGUGCUUAGCAUGCACGAGGUCCUGGGUUCAAUCCCAGUACUGCCA
rnacentral:tRNA from 1 species